UGGGGAAUAUUGGACAAUGGGCGCAAGCCUGAUCCAGCCAUGCCGCGUGAGUGAAGAAGGCCCUAGGGUUGUAAAGCUCUUUCACCCGUGAAGAUGAUGACGGUAGCGGGAGAAGAAGCCCCGGCUAACUCCGUGCCAGCAGCCGCGGUAAUACGGAGGGGGCGAGCGUUGUUCGGAAUUACUGGGCGUAAAGGGCGCGUAGGCGGGCUGGCAAGUCAGGGGUGAAAGUCCUGGGCUCAACCUGGGGACUGCCUUUGAAACUGUUGGUCUAGAGUCCGGGAGAGGAUGGCGGAAUUCCCAGUGUAGAGGUGAAAUUCGUAGAUAUUGGGAAGAACACCGGUGGCGAAGGCGGCCAUCUGGACCGGCACUGACGCUGAGGCGCGAAAGCGUGGGGAGCAAACA
rnacentral:rRNA from 1 species